GAAAUCACACUCAGUUGGAGAAUGAAACAGUCUCCUAUUCAAAUGUUUUAGCUGCAGAUAGUAAUUCAACAGAAUCGAACCUGAAUGUGGAAACGGAAAAUGAUUACGACAUCAUAAAAAGGAAAAGCGGUGUUGAACAUAUCUACGAGUAGCAGUGAUGAAGGGAACAAUUGUUUCACAAUUUUGUACGAAAAAGUUUUCAAAAAAAAUACUGAAAAUUGAUGAAUAAAACAAGUUUGAAAAAAGCAACGUUAAUAACGUAUGUUCUUGUGGCCGCUUAUAUUCUGAACUGUUUAUGCCAGACAGAAUGCUAGGAGAUGUUUUGUUAUCGCUAAUAUCUAAAUCUCAUAGUAUGAUACUGUUGUGUACAAGCAGAAAAAAAUGUUGGUUAACUACAAACCUUGGUAUUGCACUGUAUUGUAAACGUAUUUAGCAUCACACAUCUUUUUUUGUGUGGUGAAGGUACGGAGAUAAAGGCACCGUUUAUAUAACUGUUAGUGAUAACACUUUUAUCAAGCUGUAAGUUGUGCAUUUGAUAUAAUAUAAAUGUGUAAAUUAAUACAACGGCAUACAGCAAAAGGAAAUAAUGCCAAUUCUUUAGGAAAUCUAAGCAACAGUUUGCUUUGAGCUUUGUUUUAUACUUAGCUUAUGUUCGUGCCCUACAUGUAACUGAUGUUCCACGCCGCUAAUGUACACCCAGAGAAAAUGAAAGAUAUUUGACAGAUUAACGCUAAGGCUUGAAGUAUUCAAUGGUUCACAUUUAAGUUAAGGUUCUUGACUUUUAACCAUUUGGAUAAGAUAUCGUUUCUUUGACUCUAUUCUAUAUACGGUUUGUAUGUUAUUUUUUAUUCAAAUCACACCAAUAGAUACAAUAAAGUUAGUACAUUGUAAGCUUUACUUUUGCUGUAAGACACCAAAUUCUAAUCAGUAAUAAGAUAUAACUGUUAUUGUAAUAAUCUAUUUUGGGCAAACAAGAAACAUUACACAUUGAACUAUUUGUUUUUAAUAAUAUUUCUGCAAAAAUAGUAUUUACCUUCAUAUUAAUUCUUUUUAUUUCUCAUUUUAAAGGUAAUACGGGUUGUUUAACUGUUUAAAAAGGAUCUGAUACCAAACUAUAGAAUAUACGUUUAUUAUAAAACAAUAAAUAAAAGUAACAGUACAUAUAUUAAACAUAUUACAUUGAUAAAUAUAAGUGUAGACUGUAUAAGUUGAAACGCCAUGACCUGUAUAAAAUAACCACCAACUGAUCUUUUGCUAUUGUGGAAUUGGGUAUAAACUGCAAAUGGUUAGACCGUAAAAGUUGAAACACCAUAAAUUAUGUAUAAGUGUCUUGGCUAGAAUAGUUGUCUAAGAGAGUAUUUAAUAUUUGUGAGAUAUAUAAAAAUUUACUAUCUAAAAGUCAAUAACUUCCUUUGUAUUCUUAUUAAUGGUAUUCUCUCGUUUUCUAGAAACAAUUUUAUACGUACAUUUGUGACUUUUAAAGCAAAGAGAAUAGAAAUAUUUAUUUACGUAAUUCGAUUUGUUAAAAAGUUUGAGACACUAAUAAUUAAUAAGAAGAUAUGCUUGUCUAAGGGUAUGCUAAAUUGAACAAGAAAUGAUUCUUAUUUCUUAGAGUAUUUGCAAAGUAGCAAAUAGCGGGUGAAUUGUUUUGUUCAGUUUAUAUUGAAGGCAAAUCUCAAUCCGAUAUCGGUUACCAUAAGUAAGUGGAAUAUUUCCUUAACUGUCAAGUCAGUUUCAGCUUCUUUGCCGUCUUCCAACAGUCAUCCAGCAAGGCAUUUGUUUGGCCUCCGAAUUCCGCUGUAACAGUCCAAAUCUUCCACGGUCAGAUUUUUUCUUGGGACAGCAACCAGCUGCCCACAAACACGUGCCCUAUCCCUAAGUUCCCCUCCCCUAUUUUAAAGCAUUUUCAAGGUAGAAAACAAUAGUUCAUUUUAACUUAUCCUCUGAAGGAAUUUUUACUUAGUAGAUAAAUACUAUUAUGUGUAUGUGAUAGUGAUCUGAACUUGUCAUUUGCUUGUGAAGAUUUAGUAAAUAAAUUGCUAUUAUA
rnacentral:lncRNA from 1 species